UUUUGUCCCUGUAAUUAUUACUUCAAUUAUGUAUAUAAUUCUACAAGCAAAUAACAUUUGAGUGCUUUUACUUUAAAAUGUCGGUUUUCAUGUGGUUUGUUAUUUGGUGUUUGUUUGUAAGAAUGUAUCCUCAAUUUUGCAUAUAAAUUUUACUCUGUAUUCCAAGUAAUAUUCACUAAACUACUCCAUUAACUUUAUUAGUUGAAAUGUGCAAGUAAAAUGUACUUGGGUGAUAUCAGUGAACCUGGCAACCUCCCUUGCACUCGGUGUGUGACGUCAGGCCGUUCGUUGCAUGCUGUGCUGUUGAGUGCCUCUGCCCUCGCACAUGUGGACACCUGAGACCGUGGAUCAGCAGUGGGAUUUUAGUCGACAUGGGACCGCGGAGAACCUAAGGUCAUUUGCUCAUCACUUUGCAAUUUCCAGUCCACAGCUGAGAUAAGGAUGUCAGCCAAGAGGCAGUGAAGGAGGACUGCAGUCAACACUUGAUGAAAGUCAUCGUCAUCUGUCAGAACCUGGAACAGGAAAGCCAAGACCUCAGCUAUGUGUCUGUAGUCAUAGAGGGGAAAGAGGUGUUGGAGGACUGCAGGAGUGUGGCAAAUGCUUGUCUGCUCCUCAUGGGUGUCAUUUAUGCAGUCAAUCUGAGUUACCCACUGAAACUCAAAUACACAUUUGAGGUAUUUCAGAAAAUGCUUCUUGAGCUCGAUGCUCUCAAAAUGUCUUCAAAGGUCCAGGCUCUCCACAGGAAACUACUAGCAUGAGUGUGUUGAAUGCUGCAGUGUUUUGAAUCCAUGUGCCCAUGCACAGGAAAGGUUUUUAGUUCUUGUUCUUCUCACAUUUCCUUCUGUGAUCACAGCGAUCCAGUGUUAGUAGACAGUUGAUUCAGUUGCUGUUGUGAUACCUCUUCUCUGUUCUGAGGUUUAAAAGAAAGGAAUACCCUACAUAUGGGAAAUUGCCAAGGUGUGUGUGCGUGCGUGUGCGUGUGUCAUUUCUGAAAGUCAUUUCUUCCCCAAUUUUUAGAAAUCUGUGAAUAUUUGGAAGAAAGUGUCAUCAGCAGCAGGUCAUGUUUUCUUUUAAGAGGAUAUUCACACUAAUUCUCCAUUGAGUGUGUGGGAGGAUUCCUCACCUGCAAUACAAAGGCUGUGUUUAUUAGAUUUUAAAGGAUGUUCACUGUUUCUCACUGUUUCUCAGCCCUAUUGUGUGUGGACAGGAGUGUGCGUACGUGUGCAUGUGUGCAUGAGUGGGUGUCUGUCUGUAAUGAGACAGAAGUGUGUGUGUGUGUGUGUGUGUUUUCAAUCUUUGUUCAUGUACACCAAAGGAAGGUUAUGAUGUUAUGUAGACAUACAUAUAUGUCAGUGCAAAUUGGAAAAUAAAAUGUCCAUUUGAAAAAUUGAAAA